ensembl:lncRNA
UGAAAAGUCAAUACAGUCACUGUAGAAAUGACCUACUUCUGAUAGUUUGUACUUACACGCUGAAUUUUUGUACAUCAGACUUAGCAUGAAAUGUCUGUAUGAAGUCUAAUUCCCGCUGCAAGAAACGAGCAUACUCAGAUCUACUUGAAUUUUGCCAUAUUCCAUUCAGAAUAACACAUUAACUUUAUGAUGCAAGAAGGAUUUUCUUUCGAGCGCGAAUGCCUGAGGUUAAAGUUUAGCUUCUAGGCUUCCCUGACUUCUGGAACAGCAGUGAAAAUGCGUAUUUGAGUUAACUGGCAACGUUACUUUUGCACUGCGAGUGUAAAUGUGUGAGGUUUGAUCCUCCCAGGAUCUAUUUCUUCAGCCAUCUUCAAGAACUGUGCUCACAAAUGGUCAGAAUUCACUGUAGUAUGCUUGGGAUCGUUGUGUCCUAUUGACGUCUGUCCAUGAAAAUUUGUUUUUCCCUUUUCUGUCAGAAAUACCGCUACUUAGGAAUUCUUGAUGGUACUGUGUUACCAAGCGUGCAAACCUUUUUUUUUUUUCCCAUAUUAGAGACACAGUUUUUAUGUAAUUACAUCGUAGCAAGCAAAAAACAGCUUUCCAGUGCCAUUAAUAAAGGCUACGUUAUUAAAUCCUGCUUCACCUCUCUUACGCGACCGCUUGAGAUGGGUGGCAAAGCAUCUCGGCAGCCUUCCUUCGCUCUGCUUCUACCUGUGGCUGUAUGUAAAACUCGUUUACUGUCCUGACUUAGGACAGGCAUAUGUCUCCUCUAAGCAUGCACUUUAGAUUUUAGGUUUAAAAAAUAAAUUGUCGUUUGUUUGAUAACCAACAGCUUGGUUCUUCUGGACACGUUUGGAUUGGCACUGUGCUACGGUGCAGUAGCAGCAAGG